rnacentral:misc_RNA from 1 species
GAUGAAGAACGUAGCGAAAUGCGAUAAGUAAUGUGAAUUGCAGAAUUCAGUGAAUCAUCGAAUCUUUGAACGCACAUUGCGCCCCCUGGUAUUCCGGGGGGCAUGCCUGUCCGAGCGUCAUUACAACCCUCAAGCUCAGCUUGGUAUUGGGCCCCGCCGCUCCGGCGGGCCCUAAAGUCAGUGGCGGUGCCGUCCGGCUCCGAGCGUAGUAAUUCUUCUCGCUCUGGAGGUCCGGUCGUGUGCUCGCCAGCAACCCCCAAUUUUUUUCAGGUUGACCUCGGAUCAGGUAGGGAUACCCGCUGAACUUAAGCAUAUCAAUAAGCGGAGGAA